GUCGAGGGGUAUAGAGAGCUUGCUUUCUAGAGACCGGCGGAUGGGUGAGUAACGCGUAUGCAACCUACCUUUUACAGGGGAAUAGCCCGGAGAAAUUCGGAUUAAUGCUCCAUGGUUUAUAUGAAUGGCAUCGUUUNUAUAAUAAAGAUUUAUCGGUAAAAGAUGGGCAUGCGUAUCAUUAGCUAGUUGGUGUGGUAACGGCAUACCAAGGCUACGAUGAUUAGGGGUCCUGAGAGGGAGAUCCCCCACACUGGUACUGAGACACGGACCAGACUCCUACGGGAGGCAGCAGUGAGGAAUAUUGGUCAAUGGAGGCAACUCUGAACCAGCCAUGCCGCGUGCAGGAUGACGGUCCUAUGGAUUGUAAACUGCUUUUGUACGGGAAGAAAUGUAAUUACGAGUAAUUAUUUGACGGUACCGUAAGAAUAAGGAUCGGCUAACUCCGUGCCAGCAGCCGCGGUAAUACGGAGGAUCCGAGCGUUAUCCGGAAUUAUUGGGUUUAAAGGGUUCGUAGGCGGUUGAGUAAGUCAGUGGUGAAAUCUUAUAGCUUAACUAUAAAAUUGCCGUUGAUACUGCUUGACUUGAAUAGUAUGGAAGUAAUUAGAAUAUGUAGUGUAGCGGUGAAAUGCUUAGAUAUUACAUGGAAUACCAAUUGCGAAGGCAGAUUACUACGUACUUAUUGACGCUGAUGAACGAAAGCGUGGGUAGCGAACAGGAUUAGAUACCCUGGUAGUCCACGCCGUAAACGAUGGAUACUAGCUGUUCGGUUUUCGGACUGAGUGGCUAAGCGAAAGUGAUAAGUAUCCCACCUGGGGAGUACGUUCGCAAGAAUGAAACUCAAAGGAAUUGACGGGGGCCCGCACAAGCGGUGGAGCAUGUGGUUUAAUUCGAUGAUACGCGAGGAACCUUACCAAGGCUUAAAUGUAGAUUGACAGGUUU
rnacentral:rRNA from 1 species